CACUCCUACGGGAGGCAGCAGUGGGGAAUUUUGGACAAUGGGCGAAAGCCUGAUCCAGCAAUGCCGCGUGAGUGAAGAAGGCCUUCGGGUUGUAAAGCUCUUUUGUCAGGGAAGAAACGGUGAGAGCUAAUAUCUCUUGCUAAUGACGGUACCUGAAGAAUAAGCACCGGCUACCUACGUGCAAGCAGCCGCGGUAAUACGUAGGGUGCAAGCGUUAAUCGGAAUUACUGGGCGUAAAGCGUGCGCAGGCGGUUUUGUAAGUCUGAUGUGAAAUCCCCGGGCUCAACCUGGGAAUUGCAUUGGAGACUGCAAGGCUAGAAUCUGGCAGAGGGGGGUAGAAUUCCACGUGUAGCAGUGAAAUGCGUAGAUAUGUGGAGGAACACCGAUGGCGAAGGCAGCCCCCUGGGUCAAGAUUGACGCUCAUGCACGAAAGCGUGGGGAGCAAACAGGAUUAGAUACCCCAGUAGUCCCA
rnacentral:rRNA from 1 species